UUUUAUUAAAAUUAAUUUUAAUUUAAUUAUUAAAUGUAAAUCAUUAAAAAUAAAAAAUUUGGCGGUAUUUAUUAUUUAGAGGAACUUGUUUAUUAAAUUGAUAAUCCACGAAUGGAAAAACUUAAUUUUUUUUUAUGUAUUGUUGUUGAAAGAUUAUAUUAAUAGAUAUUAAUUAAUAAAUUUAAUUUAAAUUACAAUUCAAAUCAAAAUGUAGAAUAAUUAAGAGAUUGAUGAGUUACAAUUAAAUUAAUAAUUGGAGUUUAAAAAAAAUUUAAUUUUAUAAAUGAAAAUGGAUUUAAAAGUAAAUUUAUAUAAAUUAUAAAUGAA
rnacentral:rRNA from 1 species